CCCGUCCUGGAAAAUUGACUGGAUAUUUGAUUUAAACGAAUUUUGAUAUAAUAAAUCAUGUAUGUAUAAUUGCUUUAUUUUCUCAUAUCUCAGAAGGUGUCUGUUUGGAUCAGUUAAACCAUUAUACUAUCGGGACUGCUAUGGAUUAUCAUCUGUAAAACUCGGAUUGCGAAAAAUGGCAGACCAGGUCCCAGGAAGACGAAGACAACUUAGUCACGUGGCGGUUUCAGAAGAGGCGAUGAACGAGGCCAAAAAGGCACAAGAACACCUUAACAACUUCUUCAAGAAAGUGUCUGAGCAAGUGAUUAUACCUGUGACUGGCAAGAAGAAAACAACAGGACAUUUGAACAAAAUAUGAAUAGCCUCAAACAGCAGGUGGGCAGUUUUGAAAAGAGAUGCAGUGAAUUGGAAAUGCAACUUCAGGAAAAAAACAAAGCAUUUGCAGAUCAAUUGGAAACAAGAA